GUUGAGAUAGCUCAGUCGGUAGAGUGUGGGAUUCUUGAUUUCAGGGUUGUGGGUUCAAGACCCACAUUGGGCA